rnacentral:rRNA from 1 species
CUGUGACUCCUACGGGAGGCAGCAGUGGGGAAUAUUGCACAAUGGGGGAAACCCUGAUGCAGCCAUGCCGCGUGUGUGAAGAAGGCCUUCGGGUUGUAAAGCACUUUCAGUAGGGAGGAAGGUAGUGUAGUUAACACCUGCAUUAUUUGACGUUACCUACAGAAGAAGCACCGGCUAACUCCGUGCCAGCAGCCGCGGUAAUACGGAGGGUGCGAGCGUUAAUCGGAAUUACUGGGCGUAAAGCGCAUGCAGGCGGCUUGUUAAGUCAGAUGUGAAAGCCCGGGGCUUAACCUCGGAAUUGCAUUUGAAACUGGCAGGCUAGAGUCUUGUAGAGGGGGUAGAAUUUCAGGUGUAGCGGUGAAAUGCGUAGAGAUCUGAAGGAAUACCAGUGGCGAAGGCGGCCCCCUGGACAAAGACUGACGCUCAGAUGCGAAAGCGUGGGGAGCAAACAGGAUUAGAUACCCUGGUAG